CCACCCCCGCCUCCUUCCAGGGCACUGGCGUGGGUCCUUCGCCGUCCGGCGGCGACUGUAAAUAGAGCCUGGAUGUUGUUUACAUGAAGGAUCCGGCGGGAGGAGUCUGCGAGGAGGUGGCGGCGGCGGCGGCGGAGGAGGAGGAGGAGGGAGGGCGGAGAGAGGAAGACCGGAGUCCCCGCGGCGGCGGCGGCGGUCCGGGGUGAGGGUGAGCCCCGCGCGGCGCGGGGACCGGGCGCUACCACGAGGCCGGGAAGCCGGACCCUGGGGAAUGGAAGCUGAGAAUGUUGGACUCUGCAGAAAAGAGGAGUGGGAUUGUGUUUCUGGAACAGCUCAAGGCUCUAAAAGUGGAGGCAUUCCAAAGGUUGUUAACCAUCCUUACCGUAACUGUAGGACUGACAUUGACUAUAGUGGAAAAACACCCCACAGGUGUGCUAUAAAUACGUAAUCAUCAUCAGUGUCAUCAAUUUGAAUACAUUCUUGGCACUCAGAGCAAGAACAGUAAGUCAUUUUUUUUGCUCAGGUGUAUUCUUAAAUUGUAGAAACCCCAUACAUGUUUGCUUCAUGAUCUGAGAUACUGAGAAAACUAAAAAUUUUAAGCAAAAAGUAGAUGUUUUCAGGAAUCUUUUUGUUUGCAUAAAUUGUAUAGACUGAAUAUCCAGUUGAUGGGGUUGAAUGGCUAGGUCAGGGGAGAGAAAAAAGCCCUAGGUUCAAUUGUUAGACACGGAUUUGAACCCAGGUUCGGUGUAACUUAGUGAUAUGACCAGAUGAAUCACCUAUCCUCUCUUAGGUUUUUAUUUUCUUUCUGUCAAAUGGGCUCAUGCCUAAUUCUGGAAUCCUUUUGUGAUGAAUUAAUGAGUAAUUUAUUGACAACCCCCUAGGUUCUUGUGAAAACCAAAGGAAAACGCACAUAGAAGAUUACUGAAUGUUAAGUAGACGUGAAGUAUUACUGCCCUGUUUUAUUAUGAGCACUUUGAGAGCAGGGACUAUGUCUUAUCUUCAUUUCCUGAACAUCCAGAAGAGGUCUUGGAACAUUGAUAAAUACUUGCUGCAUGAAUGGCUGAGGUCAGGGAGAGGGAGUCAGCGAAUCCAGGCAGGGGAGAGAUGACACUGUGAAACAGAGCUGGGAGGCGUAGUUGAUGUAUUAGUGGUUGCUUAUCAUUAACAUGUAUACAUCGUGUGUUCACCUUGCGUCUUAUAUAAUUCAACUGGGUCUUUUACUGUUUCAGCCUCACCACUUGCUGGGCUGUGACCCUACUUUUCCUUCUGCUUCCCCACAUCCUGAACCAGAAGGGGACCUUUUAGUCCUUCACUUCGUGGGGCACCUUCAGAGGGAGUCACACAGCCACCCGGGAAGGAUGCUGCCGGCCGACAUGGUGACUGACAGGCUGCCCUGGCUCAGUUAUCACAGUGCUGAUGCUGUCCAUUCUAAAGGUACAGUACUGUGAUAACUGAAGGAUGGCAGCCAUCUUGCCUUCCACGGAGGAGCCCCGCCGUGCCGGGAAGGAGGACGCGAGGCCCAGGCGGGAGAAGCGGUGGCGGGAGCCCUCUUGCCCUGUGCCUGUAUUCUGCCUCUCCCUGAGCGCAGGGGACGUUGUUCCACCUGUCUUUGUCUUCUGUGAUAGGAGGGUGAAGAGGAGUUGGGUAGAUGUUGGCUCUGUUGGGCUGAGCGGAAGUAUCAUUAAGAUCUUCGGAAUUUUCAGGUGGCUGAUACUAGAUAAGUGCUAAGUGUGGAUUAGUAUUUCUGGAGUGGUAUUCCGAGAAAGUUGGGCCACUUAGAAAUGUAAAAAGCAACCCGAUUAAAAUAGCUUGAUGCUUGUGAAUUUAGAUGUUCAAAAUGAAAUUCAGCUUAAGCAGGGAGAAAAAAGCCCUACGUGUUGAACGGUAUUCAUGUAAUUGCAUGAACAGAAUUACAUCUUUGUGUUUAAGGAAUGGAUGGGGACAUGGCAUGUUUCUUUCAGUAACAAAAAAUAUUUAGAAACUAGUCUAACUCAAAAAAUAUUUGAUGAAUGCCCAUGUUAUUGCUGCUGUCACCUUUACAUGAAAGUAAAAUGUGUGUAAAUAAUUUUCCUGUGGUCAAAUAAUUAAGGGGGUGGGUAUAGCUCUGGUAGAGUGCCUGCUUAGCAUGUGUGAGAUCCUGGGUUCAAUUCCCAGUACUUCCAUUUAAAAAAAAAAUUAAGGACUGUUUUGUGAUGACAUCUAGAACAAAUCCAUUUCAGGGAUAUGAAGCUAUAAAUACCAACCCACCAUCAGGUGUGCGUAAAAGACUAGGAAAAUUAGCAGAGUGAGCAUCUUCAGCCUGUACUGUGCAGGGUGCGUUUGGGCUUAGAGGUGGGAUUAUUAGAGUACCCAGGGUUUCCCACAGCCUUCCUCCCUGAAGACUCCCAAGGAAGCUGUACACGUGGACCAGCAGCAGACAAGACGCAGGGUACACGACUUUAUUAUGUGUUAGAUCAUAGUCCAUUGCAAGGCUUGGAUCAUUUCAUGUAGUUCAGGCUCUAUACCUUAAACAGACCUCUUGACUUCUCCCCAGGCUCACAUGUGUACCUGGGAACCUUCCCGCCCUGUGGGUAGCCGACUAGUGUAGGAACCCAAAGCAGUGGGCAAGGAGAGAACAGGGCCUGCUGAGGUCAGGACCUGCCUACACAGGGCAGGGAGAGCCCGGGAAGGAGAACAAUGUGUGUGACCCUUUAAUGUACAGAGACAUUACCCACUAAUCAGCGCAGCCCAGUUAAUGUCUUCAGCCAGUUUUAUUGUCAGGUUUGUCACGGGGAAAGAAUACAGAAGAAGAAAGGGAACUGGGAGCCAGGAGGGAAGCGAAGCGUUGCCUCCCGUCCAGAGAGGUUCGGUCUGCCCCUCGCCGUGCCAUCGUCAGACGUUGCAGGUCAUCGUGCUCCUCCGCUGGUUCGCACAGUUCUCUGACCUCUCUGCCCCGUUCUCCACCCGGAGGGGGCCCUUUCCUGGAGGAACCCCUUGAGCCACACCUGCUUGGCCCUGAGUUGCUUUCCUCGUAGCAUUGAUCCCAUUACAGCCCAGGGCCUUCACGUGUCCUCAUCCACUCAGGGCUUCUCUGAACUGCAGGCUCGACUGUGGUUUUGAUUAGUUAUGGGGAGGGCUGGCUCUGCCCAGUUGUGAAUUUUACUCCCAGUCCUGAAAGUCCUUGGAGUUUCCUGCUCCCAUAAACAGAAAAGGAAUUUCUGACGGAAACCCUGGAAGAACUUCUGAGAAAGGAAAGUUUGGGGAUUGGUGAGUUCUCAAGUAACUUGAAACACUCCUAAUUUUUAGUGUUAUAGCAGGUGGAAAAAACUGCUUCAGGGAGUGAUGUGUUGUGCAGUCGUUGGCCUUGGUGAGGAUUUCUCCACCUUCCCUGGUCUUCCUGUUUUCCCAUUACUAGUUUUAUUUUAUCAGGUUUUAUACUUACCGGACCUUGACCCCCCAGUUCCACAGCCAAGCCUGUGGGCUGCUGCAGAGCGGAGUGUUAGGUGUAGUUUGGAGUCACUCCUGCAUUUCUGCAGAAAGAGCCAUACUGGGUCCCAUUUUCUAUCAACAGGAAAGCCUGGGGCUCAGUCUGUGGCAGGAGCACUGGAAGGCUUGCCUGGGCCUGGAGAUCCCUGGCACUUUGGGACAGUUCAUAGAGUUAAGGUGUUCCAACAGGUUAAGUGAGAGGUGAUUCAAGAGAAACCUGAUGGGGUUUUUCCACCUUUGUUUAAAACAUACAUGCAUACAGUAUGCUUUUGGUUGGUGUAGUCACUGUAUUCUUCGGUUUAGAGAUGUAAGAAAGGGAAGAUGAAUUAAACAUAGAAAUACCCUAUGAUCCAGCAUUUCCACUUCCGGUCACAUACCCAGGUGAAUGGUCUCAGAUACUUGUGCACCAGUGUUCACAGCAGCAUCAUUCAAAAGAGCCAGAAGGUAAAAGCAGCCCAAAUGCCCAUCGAUGGUUGUAUGGCUAGAUGAAGUGUGUAUGCCUACAACGGAAUAUUAUUCAGGAAGAAAAUUCUGACACCUGCUACAACAUGGAUGGACUUGGACGAUAGCUAAGUGAAAUGAGCCAGACUCUAAAGGACAAAUAGUGUAUGAGUCAUAGAAGAUUCCUAGAGUAGUCAAAUUCAUAGAGUCAGAAAGAGGAAGGGUGGUUGCCCGGGGCUGGAGGAAAGGGAAAUGGGAAGUUUGUGUUUAAUGGGGAAGAUGAAAAAAUUCUGGAGUUGGAUGGUGUUGGUUAUACAAUGUGAAAGUACUUGCUGCCACAGUACUGUACACUUAAAAAUGGCUAAAGUGGUAAAUUUUAUGUCAUUUUACCACCCCACAAAAGAAAGCAUUUCAGGGUAAUAGCAUUGUUGCAGCCAGCAACAGAAUUGAGUUUAUUGCUCUCUUCUUCAGACGGUCUUCAGUGUGAAGAUAAUCACUGUUUCAAAUAAGUAAUUAAAAAGUAAUUCCCAUGUCUUUAUGUGUUUAAAGUUCUGUAAUAUGUAGAAUGUUAAACAUUUUUCCAGGGUUUCUGACAUAGCGUAGCUUUAAAGUUUUGUAAACUAUGAGAAGUAUAUUAACAGUACUAACUCAACAAGAAGGCAGGUGAUGGAGCAUCUCUUUCUGGCUUUGUGCCUUUUCUGGUGAAGCUGAGUGACUUACGGAACCUUCCCAUGCUCCAGAUGCCUCAGUUGCCUACUCUCUGGAAUCGUGGUAAAGAUGGAAUUUUACUUUUACAUAUAUAUAGUUUGUAUCAUAGGAAUUACACACACACAUACACACACGUAUAUGUGUGUGUGUAUGACCAUUUUGAUGUCUAAAGCAGCAUUCAAGUGUGGCGUAUUAUUUCUUAUUCUCAAAAAUGUAGAAAUACAAUGUCUGAAAAGAAUAGCAUUAGUAGUUUUAAAAAGCAUCCUAAUUAGACUUGUAACUCAAAGUAUCAUGGGCCUUAUUAUAAAGAGCAUUCCCUAGCUUGCUCUCAAUCACGAACGGUUUGUGUUUGUUAUUACAUGCUGAAGUUUGAAAAUGAGGAAAGUAAAAGCAUAGAGACUAGAAAAAGAUAGCAAUAAACCUUCUGUAAAGGACUGCAUGUUUCACUAGCCAUGAGUAAAAAGUGUUCAUUUGUGGACCCUGGCUACUUCAUCACAAAGCUCUCACUUGGUGGUGUGCUCUGGAAAUCAGAUUUCAGUUGUAGGAACUGCCCGCCCGCCCCCCCCCCCCCGAUCCCGUGCAGUAGUCUGCCUUGAU